UAUAGGCAAUGGCUUGGUUAAGGGAACCCACCGAAGCCGUAGCAAAAGCGUGUCUUCAUAGGGCAAUUGUCACUGCUUAUGGACCCAAACCUGGGUGAUCUAUCUAUGACCAGGAUGAAGCUUGGGUGAAACUAAGUGGAGUUCCGACUGACUGAUGUUGAAGAAUCAGCGGGUGAGUUGUGGUUAGGGGUGAAAUGCCACUUGCACCCAGAGCUAGCUGGUUCUCCCCAAAAUGCGUUAAGGCGCAGCAGUUGACUGGACAUCUAGGGGUAAAGCACGGUUUCGGUGCGGGCCGCGAGAGCGGUACCAAAUCGAGGCAAACUCUGAAUAUUAGAUAUGACCUCAAAAUAACAGGGGGGCAAGGUCGCCUAGUGAGACGAUGGGGGAUAAGCUUCAUCGUCGAAUGGGAACCAUUGUCACUAUCUCAUAAGUUUAACCAAAGUUGUUAGACUCUGAAGGUGAGUG
rnacentral:ncRNA from 1 species